rnacentral:rRNA from 1 species
CACCGCGGUUAUACGGGAGACCCAAGUUGACAGCCGUCGGCGUAAAGCGUGGUUAGGGGUAUAGCAAAGUAAAGUCGAACAGCUUCAAGACUGUUAUACGUGUUUGAAAUUCGGAAGCCCAAUUACGAAAGUAACUUUAUUUAUUCUGAUUCCACGAAAGCUAGGGCA